rnacentral:rRNA from 1 species
CCUACGGGAGGCAGCAGUGAGGAAUAUUGGUCAAUGGACGAGAGUCUGAACCAGCCAAGUAGCGUGAAGGAUGACUGCUCUAUGGGUUGUAAACUUCUUUUAUAUGGGAAUUAAUCGUUCUACGUGUGGGAUUUUGUAUGUAUCAUAUGAAUAAGGAUCGGCUAAUUCCGUGCCAGCAGCCGCGGUAAUACGGAGGAUCCGAGCGUUAUCCGGAUUUAUUGGGUUUAAAGGGUGCGUAGGUGGAUUGUUAAGUCAGUUGUGAAAGUUUGCGGCUCAACCGUAAAAUUGCAGUUGAAACUGGCAGUCUAGAGUACGGUAGAGGUAGGCGGAAUUCGUGGUGUAGCGGUGAAAUGCUUAGAUAUCACGAAGAACUCCGAUUGCGAAGGCAGUUCACUGGACUGCAACUGACACUGAGGCUCGAAAGUGUGGGUAGCAAACAGGAUUAGAUACCCUUGUAGUC